UAGGGAAUCUUCCGCAAUGGACGCAAGUCUGACGGAGCAACGCCGCGUGAGUGAAGAAGGAUUUCGGUUCGUAAAACUCUGUUGUUAGAGAAGAACAGCGCAUAGAGUAACUGUUAUGCGUGUGACGGUAUCUAACCAGAAAGCAACGGCUAACUACGUGCCAGCAGCCGCGGUAAUACGUAGGUGGCAAGCGUUGUCCGGAUUUAUUGGGCGUAAAGCGAGCGCAGGCGGUCAAUUAAGUCUGAUGUGAAAGCCCCCGACUCAACCGGGGAUGGUCAUUGGAAACUGGUGUACUUGAGUGCAGAAGAGGAGAGUGGAAUUCCAUGUGUAGCGGUGAAAUGCGUAGAUAUAUGGAGGAACACCAGUGGCGAAGGCGACUCUCUGGUCUGUAACUGACGCUGAGGCUCGAAAGCGUGGGUAGCAAACAGG
rnacentral:rRNA from 1 species